ACGGCUCAGUAACACGUCGAUAAUCUGCCCUAAGGUUGAGGAUACCCACGGAAAACUGUGGUUAAUACUUGAUAGUGAAUGGAUUCUGGAACGAGCCAUUCGUUAAACGCAAGGCCUUAGGAUGAGUCGGCGGCAGAUUAGGCAGUUGGCGGUGUAAUGGACCACCAAACCAAAGAUCUGUAGGGGCCCUGAGAGGGGUAGCCCCGAGAGGGACACUGAAAUACUGGUCCCAGCUCCACGGAGUGCAGCAGGCGCGAAACCUCCACAAUGCGCGAAAGCGUGAUGGGGGGAUUCCGAGUGCUUACAUUUUUUGUAAGCUUUUGCCAAGAGUUCACAUCUUGGAGAAUAAGUGGUGGGUAAGACCGGUGCCAGCAGCCGCGGUAACCCCGGCGCCACGAGUGGCAAUCUUAUAUUGGGCCUAAAGCAUUCGUAGCAGGUCUGAAAAAUCCUUUGUGAAAUUGUUGAACUCAAUACAACAGCGCGCAGGGGACACUUUCAAACUAGAGACUGGGAGGAGUUGGGGGUAUGCCUUGGGGAGCGGUUAAAUGUGAUAAUCCAAGGUAGACCACCUGUGGCGAAGGCGCCCAACUAGAACAGUUCUGACUGUGAGGGAUGAAAGCUAGGGGAGCGAUCCGGAUUAGAUACCCGAGUAGUCCUAGCCGUAAACACUGUGAGCUAGGUGUCGCAUAUUCUACGAGAAUAUGCGGUGUCGAAAAGAAGUUGAUAAGCUCACCGCCUGGGAAGUACGGUCGCAAGACUGAAACUUAAAGGAAUUGGCGGGGGAGCACAAU
rnacentral:rRNA from 1 species